rnacentral:rRNA from 1 species
CCUACGGGAGGCAGCAGUGGGGAAUAUUGCACAAUGGGCGGAAGCCUGAUGCAGCGACGCCGCGUGAGGGAUGAAGGCCUUCGGGUUGUAAACCUCUUUCAGCAGGGACGAAGCGUGAGUGACGGUACCUGCAGAAGAAGCACCGGCUAACUACGUGCCAGCAGCCGCGGUAAUACGUAGGGUGCGAGCGUUGUCCGGAAUUACUGGGCGUAAAGAGUUCGUAGGCGGUUUGUCGCGUCGUUUGUGAAAACCCGGGGCUCAACUUCGGGCUUGCAGGCGAUACGGGCAGACUUGAGUGUUUCAGGGGAGACUGGAAUUCCUGGUGUAGCGGUGAAAUGCGCAGAUAUCAGGAGGAACACCGGUGGCGAAGGCGGGUCUCUGGGAAACAACUGACGCUGAGGAACGAAAGCGUGGGUAGCAAACAGGAUUAGAUACCCUGGUAGUCCACGCCGUAAACGGUGGGCGCUAGGUGUGGGUUCCUUCCACGGGAUCUGUGCCGUAGCUAACGCAUUAAGCGCCCCGCCUGGGGAGUACGGCCGCAAGGCUAAAACUCAAAAGGAAUUGACGG